rnacentral:rRNA from 1 species
UACGUAGGGUGCAAGCGUUGUCCGGAUUUACUGGGCGUAAAGAGCGCGUAGGCGGUCUGUUAAGUGUAGAGUGAAAUCUCCAGGGCUCAACCCGGAAACUGCUCUGCAUACUGGCAGACUGGAGGGACUGAGAGGUGAAUGGAAUUCCUGGUGUAGCGGUGAAAUGCGUAGAUAUCAGGAGGAACACCCAUGGCGAAGGCAGUUCACUGGCAGUCUCCUGACGCUGAGGCGCGAAAGCGUGGGUAGCAAACAGG